UUAGAGUUUUGGACUGGCUCAGGACGAACGCUGGCGGCGUGCCUAAUACAUGCAAGUAGAACGCUGAAGAGAGGAGCUUGCUCUUCUUGGAUGAGUUGCGAACGGGUGAGUAACGCGUAGGUAACCUGCCUGGUAGCGGGGGAUAACUAUUGGAAACGAUAGCUAAUACCGCAUAAAAUGGAUUAUCGCAUGAUAAUCCAUUAAAAGGUGCAAAUGCAUCACUACCAGAUGGACCUGCGUUGUAUUAGCUAGUUGGUGGGGUAACGGCUCACCAAGGCGACGAUACAUAGCCGACCUGAGAGGGUGAUCGGCCACACUGGGACUGAGACACGGCCCAGACUCCUACGGGAGGCAGCAGUAGGGAAUCUUCGGCAAUGGACGGAAGUCUGACCGAGCAACGCCGCGUGAGUGAAGAAGGUUUUCGGAUCGUAAAGCUCUGUUGUAAGAGAAGAACGAGUGUGAGAGUGGAAAGUUCACACUGUGACGGUAUCUACCAGAAAGGACGGCUACUACUCAGAC
rnacentral:rRNA from 1 species